rnacentral:tRNA from 1 species
GUGGGUAUAGCUUAGUGGUAGAGCAUGUGCUUAGCAUGCACGAGGUCCAGGGGUCAAUCCCCAGUCCCUCCA